GACGUCCUGCAGCCACGCCGACGGGUGUCGCGCCAUCUUUAAUGAGGGCAGAGAAACUUCGGGAAGCCCCCUUAAGCCGUAAAUAAUAUGCAUCAAUAAGACAUGUUUGGGAAAUAUGAACCGUUUUCCCCAGAUGGUAUGUAUGUAUCAAAAGUGACAUUUCCAGAGAAACAAAAAUACAAAAGAAAAAACAGAAAGGCUGGAACAAGUUUCAUAUCAGAAGGAUAAAUUGUGCAGGAGCAGAAGACUCCACUGUGUAGGGACUUCAAGGAUCCCAAACGGACGUGCGAGGUCAGCGGG